GAUGAACGUUGGCGGCGUGCCUAAUACAUGCAAGUCGAACGGAGAUUGUAGUAAUACGGUCUCAGUGGCGAACGGGUGAGUAACGCGUGAGAAACCUGCCUUUCACAAAGGGAUAGCCUCGGGAAACUGGGAUUAAUACCUUAUGAUACUUACAUUUCACAUGAGAAGUAAGUUAAAGCGCAAAGCGGUGAAAGAUGGUCUCGCGUCCCAUUAGUUAGUUGGUGAGGUAACGGCUCACCAAGACCGCGAUGGGUAGCCGGCCUGAGAGGGUGAACGGCCACACU
rnacentral:rRNA from 1 species